CCUUUUCCCUAUUACGGUAAAGUUGAAGUUAAACUAAUAAAUGAAUGAAAAAUUUAGUUAAUCUGCAGUCCUCUAAUUGAUUAAAUUGAGCAAGUAACUGGUCAGUUUAUGCCCGUUUUAGUUUCAAUUGCAGUAAUUAUCCCUGUAGUUGUUUGUUAUGCUAUUUUGUUCACUAUACUGAUUACUUUGAUGUAUUUGUUCUAAAUUCUACGGCGAACAUGGUAAGGCCUU
rnacentral:lncRNA from 1 species